rnacentral:rRNA from 1 species
AUUGAACGCUGGCGGCAUGCCUUACACAUGCAAGUCGAACGGCAGCACGGGGCAACCUGGUGGCGAGUGGCGAACGGGUGAGUAAUGCAUCGGAACGUGCCUUUCAGUGGGGGAUAACGUAGCGAAAGUUACGCUAAUACCGCAUAUUCUGUGAGCAGGAAAGCAGGGGAUCGCAAGACCUUGCGCUGAUUGAGCGGCCGAUGUCAGAUUAGCUAGUUGGUGAGGUAAAGGCUCACCAAGGCGACGAUCUGUAGCGGGUCUGAGAGGAUGAUCCGCCACACUGGAACUGAGACACGGUCCAGACUCCUACGGAAGGCAGCAGUGGGGAAUUUUGGACAAUGGGGGCAACCCUGAUCCAGCCAUGCCGCGUGAGUGAAGAAGGCCUUCGGGUUGUAAAGCUCUUUCGGCCGGGAAGAAAUCGCACGGGCUAAUACCCUGUGUGGAUGACGGUACCGGAAUAAGAAGCACCGGCUAACUACGUGCCAGCCGCCGCCGUAAUAC